GAUGAACGCUGGCGGCGUGCCUAAUACAUGCAAGUCGAGCGAACGGACGAGAAGCUUGCUUCUCUGAUGUUAGCGGCGGACGGGUGAGUAACACGUGGAUAACCUACCUAUAAGACUGGGAUAACUUCGGGAAACCGGAGCUAAUACCGGAUAAUAUUUUGAACCGCAUGGUUCAAAAGUGGAAGACGGUCUUGCUGUCACUUAUAGAUGGAUCCGCGCUGCAUUAGCUAGUUGGUAAGGUAACGGCUUACCAAGGCAACGAUGCAUAGCCGACCUGAGAGGGGGAUCGGCCACACUGGAACUGAGACACGGUCCAGACUCCGACGGGAGGCAGAAGUAGGGAAUCUUCCGCAAUGGGCGAAAGCCUGACGGAGCAACGCCGCGUGAGUGAUGAAGGUCUUCGGAUCGUAAAACUCUGUUAUUAGGGAAGAACAGAUGUGUAAGUAACUGUGCACAUCUUGACGGUACCUAAUCAGAAAGCCACGGCGAACUACGU
rnacentral:rRNA from 1 species